rfam:Ornithorhynchus anatinus chromosome 2, whole genome shotgun sequence.
AGCAGCGUGGCUCAGUGGAAAGAGCCCGGGCUUGGCAGUCCGAGGUCAUGGGUUCGAAUCCCGGCUCUGCCG